CUUGGUCAUUUAGAGGAAGUAAAAGUCGUAACAAGGUUUCCGUAGGUGAACCUGCGGAAGGAUCAUUAUUGAAAUAAACCUGAUGGGUUGUUGCUGGCUCUCUAGGGAGCAUGUGCACACCUUGUCAUCUUUAUAUCUCCACCUGUGCACUUUUUGUAGACCUUUCAGGUCUAUGUUGCUUCAUUUACCCCAAUGUAUGUUAAUAGAAUGUUGUGCCUAUAUAAUAUAUACAACUUUCAGCAACGGAUCUCUUGGCUCUCGCAUCGAUGAAGAACGCAGCGAAAUGCGAUAAGUAAUGUGAAUUGCAGAAUUCAGUGAAUCAUCGAAUCUUUGGACGCACCUUGCGCUCCUUGGUAUUCCGAGGAGCAUGCCUGUUUGAGUGUCAUUAAUAUAUCAACCUUCUCUUUUUUGAGUUGUUUGGAUGUGGGGGUUUGCUGGCAUCUUAAAUGAUUCAGCUCCCCUGAAAUGCAUUAGCAGAACAAACCUGUUCAUUGGCGUGAUAAUUAUCUAUGCUAUUGAAUGUGAGGGCAGUUCAGCUUUCUAACCGUCCUUGGACAAUUCAUCAUUAAUGUGACCUCAAAUCAGGUAGGACUACCCGCUGAACUUAAGCAUAUCAAUAAGCGGAGGA
rnacentral:rRNA from 1 species